rnacentral:rRNA from 1 species
UACAGAGGGUGCUAGCGUUAAUCGGAAUUACUGGGCGUAAAGCGUGUGUAGGUGGUUAGAUAAGUUAGAUGUGAAAUCCCCGGGCUUAACCUGGGCAUUGCGUUUAAGACUGUUUAGCUUGAGUACUGUAGAGGAUAGUGGAAUUUCCAGUGUAGCGGUGAAAUGCGUAGAUAUUGGAAGGAACACCAGUGGCGAAGGCGACUAUCUGGACAGAUAUUGACACUGAGACACGAAAGCGUGGGGAGCAAACAGG